rnacentral:rRNA from 1 species
GACGAACCGAGCGAACGUUGUUCGGAAUCACUGGGCUUAAAGGGCGCGUAGGCGGGCUGCCGCGUCCGGGGUGAAAUCCCACGGCUCAACCGUGGAACGGCCCCGGGUACGGGCGGCCUCGAGGGGGGUAGGGGCGUGCGGAACUGUGGGUGGAGCGGUGAAAUGCGUUGAUAUCCACAGGAACUCCGGUGGCGAAGGCGGCACGCUGGACCCCCACUGACGCUGAGGGACGAAAGCUAGGGGAGCGAACGGG